UACGAAGGGGGCUAGCGGUGUUCGGAAUUACUGGGCGUAAAGCGCACGUAGGCGGACUCUUAAGUCAGGGGUGAAAUCCCGGGGCUCAACCUCGGAACUGCCUUUGAUACUGUGAGUCUCGAGACCGGAAGAGGUGAGUGGAAUUCCUAGUGUAGAGGUGAAAUUCGUAGAUAUUAGGAAGAACACCAGUGGCGAAGGCGGCUCACUGGUCCGGUUCUGUCGCUGAGGUGCGAAAGCGUAGGGAGCAAACAGG
rnacentral:rRNA from 1 species